AUUUUCUUUUCUGUAAAACAAAAAUAAUAAUAUCUAUCUCAUAACCUUGUGAAAGGAUAAGAUGAAUUUACAUGUGCAAAAGGCUUUGCACAACUCCCGGGACAUAGCUAUUAUUUACUGAGCACAUAGCUAUUAUUUACUGAGCAACUAAUGUAUGCGAGGUUCUGUACUUGGCAUGGUACAUACAAAAAUAAACCAGAGCCAGGUCCCUGCCUUCCAGGAUGUUACUGUCUCCUAGCAAAAUGCAGGCACCCAGGAAGCCCCUCUGUCAUAGUCUCCUGAGGUGUCCCUAAGGCGGGGUGACUCCUGGUAUUCUGCCUUUGGCGUGGGGUGGAGCACGGAGCAAGUCUUCCUGUGAGCCCCCAAAGCACACACCAAUUGCCUGAUCUCUCAACUUUUCCUGCUUCUUUGUUGCUUUUGUGCUCUUGAUUUCACUUGAAGUCUCACUUCAAAGACAACAGAAAUGAAAUCUGCAAAUCAGACUUUUCUCCUCCUCCCCCAUCCCUCUCUCUCUCUUAAUUUCCUGUCUCGUGUUCCGGUUGCAUCACUUAGUCUCAGAGCCUCGCUCCACUUGCCCCAUCUGGGGAGCUUCAAGAUCCCCCGGUGCCUUCCUGCCCUCCUAAGAACACACUCUGGCCUCGCUCUUCCAAGAACUGGACAUGGCCAUCAUCUCCUUGGUUGGGCUCAUUUCUGGUGAUGAGGGCACUGUUUCUCUCAGAGAGAGAUCAGGCACCUCACAGGUGAGAACAGAGUCAGAGGAGACAGCCCACCCCCAAAUCCUCAUGAAACUUUGAGUUGCCCCUUUCGUUUUCCUUUGGAAUGGAAUUUAUGGAAUGGAAUGGAAUUUCCUGGAUGGAAUUUAUUUCCAGAAAUGCCUUUGUGACCCCCGCCCCCUGCUCUUCAGGGAGUCCACCCUGUGCCCGUUUAUCCGGCCAUAGACAGGAGACUGGUUGCCAUCGUCCCUCCUCUGACCCAGUCUUGAGGGUCUCAGGCCUGUCUUCUGUAGGGGUCUUCCAGUUUCCUGCCCCGGGCCGGGAGAGGCAACGAGGAGAACAGCCAGGUUCACUGCAAAAAAAUGCCCCACCGUGGGCCCCCACUGGCGUCCAGUCACGUGCUCAACUUGCUGGGUGUCAGGAGAGAAUUUCACUCAAUCAGCACAUUUCCUUUUCUUGUUGGUUUUGUCUGUUGGCUUUCCCCCACGUUCUCUUUUUCCUUCUUCCGUUGAGUCAGCGAUGCUGAGCCCAGCAACUCAGAUGGAGUGAAGAGAAAGAGAGACUGUCCAGGGUGCACCCAGAUUCCUUUAGCUGCAUACCCCAGGCCAGCUUCCCUGGUGGUUCAGCUAGUAAAGAAUAGGCCUGCAAUAUGAGAGAUCACGGUUCGAUCCCUGGGUGGGGAAGAUCCCCUGGAGAAGGGCAUGGCUACCCACUCCAGUAUUCUGGCCUGGAGAAUUCCAUGGACUGUAGAGUCCAUGGGUCCCAAAGAGUCAGAGACGACCGAGUGACUUUCCCUUCACCCAGGCCAGCUCUGCACUAUGGCGACCUGCACUUUGGGCCCCCUUUUCUGCCCAGACAAGUAAACAUCUGCCCCUGCCUGGGGCUGGUGCAAGGGCACUGGCAGGGGGAGAGCAGGCACUAGGCACCUGCGGUCUCCUGGGCACCCUGCCUGCUUGCCAGCCCCCUGGCUCCCUUUUCUGAAGCUCAUUCCCAGCUCUUUGGACUUGGAUCACUUCGGACCCUUUAACACAGUGCUUUACAAUACGCUUUGUUCUCACUAAAACUUUGAGUAGGUCCUGUUACCUGGCUUGUUACUGUAAGCAGCCCAACUGAGCAAUAGUAAUAAAAUAGUAAUCAGUAAACCAGUGACUUUUCAUCUGAG
ensembl:lncRNA